rnacentral:rRNA from 1 species
AUUGAACGCUGGCGGCAGGCCUAACACAUGCAAGUCGAACGGAGUGGCGGACGGGUGAGUAAUGUCUGUGACACUGCCUGAUGGAGGGGGAUAACUACUGGCAACGGGCGCUAAUACCGCAUACUAUCAGAUGAGCCUAGGUCGGAUUAGCUAGUGGGUGGGGUAAAGGCCCACCAAGGCGACGAUCCGUAACUGGUCUGAGAGGAUGAUAAGUCACACUGGAACUGAGACACGGUCCAGAGUCCUACGGGAGGAAGCAGUGGGGAAUAUUGGACAAUGGGCGAAAGCCUGAUCCAGCAAUGCCGCGUGUGUGAAGAAGGUGUUGGGAUUGUAAAGCACUUUAAGUUGGGAGGCGUUACCAACAGAAUAAGCACCGGCUAACUUCGUGCCAGCAGCCGCGGUAAUAC